UAACGCGUGGAUAACCUGCCGUAUACCGGGGGAUAACACUUAGAAAUAGGUGCUAAUACCGCAUAAGCGCACGGCUCCGCAUGGGGCAGUGUGAAAAACUCCGGUGGUAUACGAUGGAUCCGCGUCUGAUUAGCUAGUUGGCGGGGUAACGGCCCACCAAGGCAGCGAUCAGUAGCCGGCCUGAGAGGGUGGACGGCCACAUUGGGACUGAGACACGGCCCAAACUCCUACGGGAGGCAGCAGUGGGGAAUAUUGCACAAUGGGGGAAACCCUGAUGCAGCGACGCCGCGUGAGUGAAGAAGUAUCUCGGUAUGUAAAGCUCUAUCAGCAGGGAAGAAAGAAAUGACGGUACCUGAGUAAGAAGCCCCGGCUAACUACGUGCCAGCAGCCGCGGUAAUACGUAGGGGGCAAGCGUUAUCCGGAAUUACUGGGUGUAAAGGGAGCGUAGACGGUAAUGCAAGUCUGGAGUGAAAGGCGGGGGCCCAACCCCCGGACUGCUCUGGAAACUGUGUAACUGGAGUGCAGGAGAGGCAGGCGGAAUUCCUAGUGUAGCGGUGAAAUGCGUAGAUAUUAGGAGGAACACCAGUGGCGAAGGCGGCCUGCUGGACUGUAACUGACGUUGAGGCUCGAAAGCGUGGGGAGCAAACAGGAUUAGAUACCCUGGUAGUCCACGCCGUAAACGAUGAUUACUAGGUGU
rnacentral:rRNA from 1 species